rnacentral:rRNA from 1 species
GCCUAAUACAUGCAAGUAGAACGCUGAAGAGAGGAGCUUGCUCUUCUUGGAUGAGUUGCGAACGGGUGAGUAACGCGUAGGUAACCUGCCUUGUAGCGGGGGAUAACUAUUGGAAACGAUAGCUAAUACCGCAUAACAAUGGAUGACCCAUGUCAUUUAUUUGAAAGGGGCAAAUGCUCCACUACAAGAUGGACCUGCGUUGUAUUAGCUAGUAGGUGAGGUAACGGCUCACCUAGGCGACGAUACAUAGCCGACCUGAGAGGGUGAUCGGCCACACUGGGACUGAGACACGGCCCAGACUCCUACGGGAGGCAGCAGUAGGGAAUCUUCGGCAAUGGGGGCAACCCUGACCGAGCAACGCCGCGUGAGUGAAGAAGGUUUUCGGAUCGUAAAGCUCUGUUGUAAGUCAAGAACGAGUGUGAGAGUGGAAAGUUCACACUGUGACGGUAGCUUACCAGAAAGGGACGGCUAACUACGUGCCAGCAGCCGCGGUAAUACGUAGGUCCCGAGCGUUGUCCGGAUUUAUUGGGCGUAAAGCGAGCGCAGGCGGUUUGAUAAGUCUGAAGUUAAAGGCUGUGGCUCAACCAUAGUUCGCUUUGGAAACUGUCAAACUUGAGUGCAGAAGGGGAGAGUGGAAUUCCAUGUGUAGCGGUGAAAUGCGUAGAUAUAUGGAGGAACACCGGUGGCGAAAGCGGCUCUCUGGUCUGUAACU